rnacentral:lncRNA from 7 species
GCAUUACCCAGCCUGGCUCCCCUGCACAAGGAAGGCUGCAGAAGACACAUCAAGCUGGCAUCCACAAGCCAGCAGAGCAGCACAGAUUAUAUAAACAUGUUGCUACAGAUUUACGUACAGCACAAGAGAACUAAACUUUCAAGAAGGCUGAGCUGCAGGCUCAACAAAGAAAACGGUGAUAGCAGAGGUGAGCUAACAUGGAGAAGGAGGCUCAGAACAUAAAGGUCUGAUUAAAACCGUAAUGAAAUCCCAGCCUUUCAUGAAGAGAUGUGGCAAAUCAGCACUUGCUGAAAAAAUGCAUUUUCUCAGUGACUGAAAAGCCUCCAGCACACACCGGUUUUGAUCUUAUU